rnacentral:rRNA from 1 species
AUUUAAGCAUAUCACUAAGCGGAGGAAAAGAAACUAACCAGGAUUCCCCUAGUAACGGCGAGUGAAGAGGGAAGAGCCCAGCACCGAAGCCUGUGGCAGUUUUGCUGCUAGGCAAUGUGGUGUUUGGGUCGGCUCGCGGAAUUGCCACUCCACUCGAAGUCCAGCAUUGAGUAUGGUCCACUGGAUUUGGCCCAGAGAGGGUGAAAGGCCCGUACGGGUGGAGGUUUCAGACAUGUGAGGCAGUUUCCUAGGCCGGCCUUAGAGUCGGGUUGUUUGAGAAUGCAGCCCAAAGUGGGUGGUAAACUCCAUCCAAGGCUAAAUACUAGCACGAGUCCGAUAGCAAACAAGUACCGUGAGGGAAAGUUGAAAAGUACUUUGAAGAGAGAGUAAACAGUACGUGAAACCGCAUGCAGGUAAACGGGUGGCGUCAAGCUGCAAGCCCAGAGGAUUCAGCCGGUUAGAGUGUAGUGUAUGCGCCUGUCGCAUCGAUUGGUCAGAAUAGGAUUGGACAGUCUACUGGUUAACAGUGGGUCCUUGCCGCAAGGUGGGGAUUUGUGUACCGGGCGGUAGCCGGAGCAUGCUGUUCGUCUGUUGGAUCAUCUAGCCGGUGCACUUUCUCUGUGGUGAACACCACGACCGAUGGUACUGUCAGUCUGCUGUGGUCGAGUCGUGUUUGGUUGGUGCUUCGGUGCCUACUGGAUGCGAUCACGGGCAAAGUUGGUAGACGGCGUGGGCUUCAUCUUUCAUAGGUGUGUCCAUGUGUUAUCGGCUGCUGCUUGUCUGAACGGGCUUGCCUGGCAAUUGUUGUAGCCGUUGUCGGGUAGUCUGGUGGACUAUGGUGGUAUGAAUAACUGUGCAGGGCAUCGGAGUUGUCGGCCUCAAAUGCGGUUGGCAUGCACGCUACAAGUGUGCGGCUGGUGGGUUGCGUAGCAGCUUGCCUGUUGUUGGGUGUGAUUGUCGUGUUGCCUGCGCAAAGUGGGCCCGGCAGUGGCUCGCAAUAGGUUGGUGUUGUUUGCGCGGUCUGCUUUUUGUGUCAACCGUGGUGGGCCUGAUAGUCGGUGGUGUAGUGGUAGACGAGCUACCCGACCCGUCUUGAAACACGGACCAAGGAGUUUAACAUGUGUGCAAGUCAUGGGGUAUUUACGAAACCCAAAGGCGCAGUGAAAGUGAUGCCUCAACUCGAGGUGUUGGUGAGAUCCUGUCGUUACUUGCACCGCUUUUUAGCUGUGUCAGCAGCAGGCAAAGAAGAGCGGCAGGCGCAUCACCGGCCCGUCCCAUGAUGUGGUCAUUGGAUUGUGUGUUGGUUGGCUGUUCUGCAGUUGGCCAAUGCUCGCCAGUGCGUCAUCGGGGCGGAGCAUGAGCAUACAUGUUGAGACCCGAAAGAUGGUGAACUAUGCUUGCGUAGGUUGAAGCCAGAGGAAACUCUGGUGGAGGACCGCAGCGAUUCUGACGUGCAAAUCGAUCGUCAAACGUGAGUAUAGGGGCGAAAGACUAAUCGAACCAUCUAGUAGCUGGUUCCCUCCGAAGUUUCCCUCAGGAUAGCUGGCGCUCAUUCGCAAGAUCAGUUUUAUCCGGUAAAGCGAAUGAUUAGAGGUACUGGGUUCGAAACGAGCUCAACCUAUUCUCAAACUUUAAAUGGGUGAGAUGCCCGACUCGCCUAAUAGGAGUUGGGCGUUGAAUGUGCGAGUGCCAAGUGGGCCAUUUUUGGUAAGCAGAACUGGCGCUGUGGGAUGAACCAAACGCUCGGUUAAGGUGCCUAAUGCGGACGCUCAUGAGAUACCACAAAAGGUGUUGGUUAAUAUAGACAGCAGGACGGUGGCCAUGGAAGUCGGCAUCCGCUAAGGAGUGUGUAACAA